GAGAGCUUGAUGAAGCUGGCAAAUCGGACGGGUGGCACAUUAGCUGUUUGCGGCCGGUACUAGCUACCAAUUGAUUGCUGGCUGUAGGAUGUGUUUUUCUUUUGCUCAGGCGAAACUGGAGGAAUUGAGCUAGGUUUCAUGGUGAUUGAGUCGAUGCCUUGCAACGCUGGUGUGUGCCCAUUCCUAGUGCCUCACAAUCCCCCACCCACCACACACACACAUAUAUAGACAGCCUUUUCUUUUUUGAGCUAAAUAUCACAUAGCUAACUUUGAAGUGAGAUCGUGGUGGACUCACUGAUCAAUGGUUUGUCUAUGCUGCCAGCAUAUAUAACCCCUGAUGUUUCACUGGUCAUGAAGUAGGGGAUGGCAAAGGGUCAGUAUGGAGGCAUGUGCUUGCUUGCUUUGUCGUUAUAAAUGGGUCAUCUGGGUCUCUGCAAUAGUUUACUAGGACCAAUAAAGCGGACGUGUUUGGAAGAUGUAAUCCUCAGGGAAUCAAUAUUACUUAUACUACUUUUCAUCUUUUGGAUGAAGAUAAUAACAUCAACAAUAACAUCAAUGUAGACGAUAUAGUAUCACUAGUAGAAAA
rnacentral:lncRNA from 1 species